UACGUAGGGGGCAAGCGUUGUCCGGAAUCAUUGGGCGUAAAGAGCGUGUAGGCGGCUCGAUAAGUCUGCUGUGAAAGUCCAGGGCUCAACCCUGGAAGGCCGGUGGAAACUGUCGGGCUAGAGUCCGGAAGAGGCGAGUGGAAUUCCCGGUGUAGCGGUGAAAUGCGUAGAGAUGUGGAGGAACACCAGUGGCGAAGGCGGCUUUUUGGUCUGUAACUGACGCUGAGGCGCGAAAGCGUGGGGAGCAAACAGG
rnacentral:rRNA from 1 species